rnacentral:rRNA from 1 species
UACGUAGGGUGCGAGCGUUAAUCGGAAUUACUGGGCGUAAAGUGCGCGCAGGCGGCUUCGCAAGUCGGGUGUGAAAUCCCCGGGCUUAACUUGGGAAUUGCGCUCGAAACUACUUGGCUUGAGUGUGGCAGAGGGAGGUGGAAUUCCACGUGUAGCGGUGAAAUGCGUAGAGAUGUGGAGGAACACCGAUGGCGAAGGCAGCCUCCUGGGCCAACACUGACGCUCAUGCACGAAAGCGUGGGGAGCAAACAGG